rnacentral:rRNA from 1 species
UACGAAGGGGGCUAGCGUUGCUCGGAAUCACUGGGCGUAAAGGGUGCGUAGGCGGGUUUUUAAGUCAGGGGUGAAAUCCUGGAGCUCAACUCCAGAACUGCCUUUGAUACUGAAGAUCUUGAGUUCGGGAGAGGUGAGUGGAACUGCGAGUGUAGAGGUGAAAUUCGUAGAUAUUCGCAAGAACACCAGUGGCGAAGGCGGCUCACUGGCCCGAUACUGACGCUGAGGCACGAAAGCUAGGGGAGCAAACGGG